GCUACGGUGGCUGCAGAGAUACAGUGGUGGGACUGCAAGAACUGUGAUUGUCAGUUUGAGCUGCUUAUGUUUUCUGUUAAGUUUUUGAUGCCGGCAGGGAUUGUUGAUAGUGAAGACGAAGGAAGUUGAAGAAAGACUCUGGAGUCAUUUCAGUAACACACAUCUAGCAAAGUAAAUACAGUUACUGUGGGGAGUUAACUAGCGUCUUGAAUCUGAGACAGGACAGGAGAUCAGACAGGAAAUCAGUCAUUUUCUCCAUUAGAAGCAGCUGUACGAAACUGUCUGAGCAAAAACAGGCAAACCUACAUGCAUGGGGCUGCUUUUAUUUAUAUCCGCAGUACUGGGUCUUCCAGUGUUUUUUUUUAAUGAUGAAUGCAGACUACCGCCACCUGCUGGUAUGGAGAAUUAUUACCUAUUGCGCUGGCCACGAUGUCAGAAUCAGAAAUAUACAUGCUAGUUGGCUGAUUGCUGUAGUCGGUGCGGUAUGUUCUAAUGUCACUUUUUGGCCAAGACACGGGCGACAUGAGGCGACGCAGCAGUCGGCUUUUGUUUGCCGCUAGUUUUUUGACAUCAGUUUGAUGUGUCAGAGCCUUAACAUGCAAAAACAUGCAGCAAAGCGCCAACAAAGGCAGGGAAGAGGAAGACUGCAAUCUAGUAAAGAUGGAUGUAAACAAUGCAGGAUUUAAAAUACAUCGGAUUUGCUAAUGUUUUAUGAGGAAGAAAUGCAUUCAACACAUUUGUUAGCGCUCAAGGAUACACACAAUGUGUUUUGGUGAAUGUAAACAACUUUUCUUUGUUUACAAGAAAACUCCACAGGGCACCUUUAAAGCCUGAUGAUGUACAAUACAUCUAUCUGGUGUUGUGGUGGUGCUAUCAGGUGAAAUCCAACACUAUAAAUCAAAAUCUACGCCAUCGGUGUCUAUUGGUGACCACCAUUAACCGCUUGCAUCAAGUAGAAAUCCAGCUUUAUGUGGCAACACACUUGGCUAGUCAAACACGAGCAAGCACACAUUUAUGGUCGAUUCCUUUGUAAUAUGAAUAAUUCUACUGUUAAACAAUCAUUGAGACAGAAUACAAAAUUACUGCUGCCAGAGUUGUUAAAUCUUGUGCAGUAUUUAGACACUGAAUAAGCCUUAAAACUCAGGAAUGUAUUAAUCAGACUAGGUUUCCUGAAUCCUAUUUAAGUUUUUUGCCUAUAUCUGUCAAAACAUGGACACACCAAAUGUAGCCCCUUGCCUUUUCUUUUUUUUUUUUUUUUUUUCCCCACACACUGUGAUUUUUGGUCUGGACACCAUCAUAAAAUGUUUAGAUGUUUAGAAGUUUUACAGAGUGCAGAUUCAACAUGUUUACUAUGUGACACUGGACGAAACUGAAGAAUUCCCUUUAAUCUUGUGGUAAGAGGGCCUGCCAUGCCCCAUGAUCUUAAGGGUUCAGAUGAACAGGUAGCAGUGAUUAGGUCUGGGUGCAGUGGUCUGUGGAAGGCAGAGCAAACAGGCAGCAGAAUGAGGCUCUAUUGCGUGAGUAUCUGGAGGUAGAGGAGAGGUGAGCCUCAAUGGCCUUACUUACACUCUACACUGUUAGCCCACAUUGUUGGCCCUGACCGGUUUCAUUUUAUUGUUACAUUGCAAGUUAAUUUGAAAUCACAGAACAUUCCCGUCAGUGACUGGCGUAGCACACACACCGACGCACAUAUUCACCUACACAGAUGCGCAUACAAACUUGUGCCGCACAUUCACUCAUCCUCCAUUCCACUAUGUUGGGACGCAGAGUAGGUAAUCUACAUUAUUCAUCUUAACAGUGUAGUAGAUAGCCAAGGGUGCACACUUUUUUUGCCUUACUCUUACCACAUGCUUGCUUUCCUGUAUGACUUCCCAUUGUCUACUCACCUCUCUGUGUGUUCAUGGGCUUCCCAGAUCCAAACAGUGUCUGAGUCCAAUCAGAUGUUAAAUACAAUAGUAACCAAGGCGCAUUCAGAUGACUGAUGGUCGCGUGAUAAAAAUGUUUAUAUUUCUGUCUAAAUCUAUAUUUCAUGGCAGAUUGAAUACAAAAAAUAUAUCAUUUUUCUUUGUAUGAAUUUUGUUUAUUUGGGGAACAACUGAACACUGCAUUUAUUUCAUUAUGUUAUGUAAGCAAUUAGCCUGAUGGAAGGGGCUAAACCUCACCUCAAGGGUGGAGGAGUCAGUCUCAGCUGGGAUACAGAGAAGGUAACAUCUACUGAUUUACACUUGAGCGUUUAAGUAAUUUUUUUAAAGAUUCAUUUAAGAUUUUUUGCACAAAUUUGCACUUUGGGAGGCCCACGCGAUAAAUUUCAUCCAUCACUACAACUAUAUUCCUUUUUGAGAUGGUAAAGGUAGAACCUUGACGUGACAAUCAUGUAAAGGAAUGGAGGGACCUUGGUUUGUCAGUGCUUUUUGGCUACAGCUCACAGCUUAGUCAAUAGAGUGAACAAAACAAUCUGAAAGAUGUCUCGCUUACAAUGUUGAGUCAAACCAAUGUGCGUGUGUGUGUGUGUGUGUGUGUGUGUGCGUGUGAAAGCGAAAGAGAGCACAUUCCACCUUGGAUAAUGAUGUAAGGCCUUGACAUUUCUACAAAGCAACAUUCUUUUCUGACGCUCCUUAAAUUGUUGACAUCACAAAGUGAGCAUGAAAUCAUUGGCUACAACCAAUGAGGCAGCAGGAGGACGUCCGGCUCCUCCCUCCCAGGAACCAGUCUUGUUCCUCAGAGAGAAGUCAUGCUACAGCAAAACAGCUCCUUACAAAGCCAGGAAGGAAAAGACUGAAAGCGGAGCACCUAUGAGGCACCUGGAUCUAGGCCCUGUUAGUUCAUGCGAGCCCGAAUUCACCCAUCACACAAUGCUGCACCCAUUAUACAUACACAAAGGGAGAGGAGGACAGAAAAGAUCACACACUCACACACAGGUACACACUUGGGUCAAUACUACCUCAUCAGCUCUUAAAUUAAUGAGGGUGGUCCAGACACCAUGUUGGUAAUGAGACAAUUAACUCCUCAUCUGGCAUUUUCAUCCAACAGCUCUUGAACAACAGAACAGCCGGUCGCCAUGGGCGCAGGAGUCAGAGAGGAGGUGGGGGUGACAGGGAGGUGAGGUGGGGCUGAAACAGGUAAACAAGGUAAUUCAAGGAAUGUCAGAGACGAGGACAGCUGAUGGAGAAGGCGAGGAGGCAGCGAGAGAGGGGAACGAGUCAAAGGCCAAAGAGGAGAAAGAGCGUGGAGCGAGAGAAGAAAGCAGAAAUAAGUAAUACAUUGAUGGAGAAGACGGGAGAAAGAGAAGAAGGAGCAAGCGUCAAAAUCGAAGCAAUUACCCACCAUACCAUGUUCCUGUCCUUUAACCUCUCUGCAGCACUCAUGGGAGAGGACAGAAGGUGUAAGAGUGCUCUGAGCUGUCAGCACCUGUGUCUUCUCUGACCUAAUCAUUAACAGGAGGGUCCCUAGGUGAGCUACAGGACACUUUAAGUGUGCAAUGACUGUCCAUACGUUAGGGUAUACAUCUGCACAUCACACUGGCAGAGACAACAGCCAACACCGGGGUCAAUCCACAGACGUACUGAAUAAGGAAAAAGACGAGACGUUUGAUGCACUCUUUGCACUUGCAGCCUUGAAUCUACAUUUAUAGACGUUUUUGACUCAAAACAGAAGAUUGAGCUGUUUUGGCCCCCUCUAUAUUCUCAUUUGCCAUCAAUUAUUCAGAUUGAUAUGUCAGUGUAUGGUAUUCUUUAGUGAGCGGAAAAGCAACAUCCUUUUGCAGCAGAAUUGCUGGCAACAAACCAUCUCCCUGGUGUGCUCCUACGCAGUACAGCAUUUCAGUUUUCUAUGGCCCAUUAUGGUCAGCCCUAUUUAGCAUGUAAUCACGUCUCAAUAAGUAACACUAUUUCAACACUGCUUGGAUCAAUGCUCCCCAGCGUUGCACGUGGAUCAGGAGAAAUCGAUUUGUCCCUUGUCAGACGAGACUCAUUCGUGCCCUGCUGCUCUGUGGUGCAAAAAAGCAGAUGCCUGAGGACGGAGAUGUAUGAAGGAGGCGUUGCUGCUGCGUCAGGGAGACAGAAGAGGAAAAGGGGGGGGAUUAUUAUGACGUAAUAUCGAUCCAAGUUGGAAAACAAGCCCAGGAUGCAGGACGCUGCAGGGGAACGGAUGCUCAAUCGAUCCAAUCCCUGGUGCCAGACAAAGCACAGGAUUAUGGAUGCUCGCAUGGAGAAAUAAAUGGAUAGGGGAAUGCAUGGAUGGUUAGACAGGCAGACUGAGAGAUAAAAACAGAUAGGACAGAUAAAUCUUGGGGCCCGGCAACAGAGAAAUGUGAACUGACUCACACGAAAUAAGCCAAAAGGGGGAAAAAGGAAGUCUUACACAUGCUGCAGAAUGUACAUAUUGAAAAUGUAAAUUUUAAUACUGCGGAUGUGAUUUUAUGUUAAACCGACUCUACAAUUGGCAUUAUAUAACAGUCAAUUACAAUUAGCAUGGAACAGCAUGCUUUGAGCCAAGCCCAGCAUGCUUGGGCCAAUGUGUGGACAUCACUAGGCCUGGUCACUUUAUCCCUCUUCCCCUCAUACUCACUCCUAAGAACAAUAGGGAAAUUUGAAGCCAGUACACCAGGUACAUAUAAAGGCAUUUUUGGUUUAGAUGCUCUUGAGGAAAUGGAAAUAACAAAAUAGUUAUAGGAACGAGCAGGUUGUUUUUGUUGUAAAUUCUGGCCAGUUUGUGCCUGCUCUUGCUGGCAGUUUGUGCAUCGUGUUGGAUCAGACCAUCGAUGGUGCAGAGCCGCAGAUGGGGAAUGAUGUUGACCAGAUUGUGUCUCUGCAGCCUCAAAAAGACUUAAAACCUGCGUCCUCCACGGAUUACUGACGUCUUGUAGGAAAUUGGCCUAAUCCAAAACAAAUCCAGUGGGAUAUUUUCUCGUAAUUCAUCGCUUGUGGUGACUGUCCUUUUAACCACAGGCAGACACGUUUGGCAGAUCUUUUGUUCUCACGCUUCACUGGCUGUGGCCUCAAGACAUCAUUCUAACAGACAUUGUUAGCCAGCCGGGAGUCAGCGUCAUUACACAAGAGCUGCAUUACAAAUGCAAGAUAAGUAAUCCUUUGCAGAUUAAUGAUAAAAUGUUUAAAAUGUGUAUUUGGAUGGAUUAAAUGCUACUAAUUUUUUUUUAUUUCUCAUUUAUUAGUUAAAUACAUGAUUUAUUCUACUCUAUAAGCUCACGUUUUAAAGGAAUCAUUCAUACCCAUGAUUAACUAUUAUUUCAGAUUAAAUAGUUUUAUUCCAAAAGGCUUUAUAUUGACUGUGCAACUAAACUGUUACUUGUAAGAAUUACACUAUCUUUAACCUUAGUCUUGUAGUUUUGAACUAACAAUAUGUUUACAGUUAUUCAUCCAUGAAAUAUUGGUCUGCACAGACAGACACACACACACACACACACACACACACUCAGAGCAAAAGGCUGGUGGUGUUAUUAACCACUGUGUCCUGGCAACCUUCGUUAACUACAAUCUGCAUCUGUGCCUAAGCCUCCCUCUGGUCCCCUUGCUUCCCCUCUCCCCUCUCACCGCUACUCUCAUUCUUGCUACACUCAGUGUUGAACCCAAAUUACCUCCUCCUCCUUAAUUGAAAUCAACAGGACCAGAUCAGGUCAUGCAGUGUUUUUUUGUUAGAGCCCUCCCUGAGAGUAGCGUGGCCAUUUCCCUCCUCACCUCUCAUUUUGUCCUCACAGGGUCCCGGUCGCCAAUUAGCCCCGGCUUAUGAACCAACCCCAACCAAGCGCUUCCUCCCUUCCGAAACCCCUUACAUAAAGGGAUCAGGAGUCAGACAUAUGCCCUUAUGUCUCCCGACGCUGCUGCAGACCCCACGCCCCCGCAGCCAAAGCCGGCAGAUGACAGAUGAUGUGGGGAAAAAAGCAACAGGGACGGGGAGAAACAAAAAGGAAACACGAAAAAAAAGAACAGAAAAAAAGUCAAAGAAGGAAAAGAGGGAAUCAGAGGAGUGCAUCAUAAUCGAUCAACCCAGCCUAUGACUUUCAUUCAUCCACCAGAAUUAGUUUUUCUCUUAACUACUGUUAAUUUAAUGGUAAAGUGAUGUAGGUCCUCACUGUGUGGUAUUCUCACAUUAUCUGUUGUGUUGCUUUGUAAUGCAGCAUAUGUAGGUCGCUAGACAGAUCAAUAGAUAGCAUGAUUGAGAGGUUUCAGCUUGGGAUUUACAGCACCCCCCACCCAAGGCAAUGAAUUGGUCCAGCCAUCCCUUCUCCGGUGAACAAGGCAGAGGGAAGUGGGAGGACCAAAGGUGUUGCCAUGGAAGGGCCUGUGCAUAAAUAGCAUGGCUGUGAGGAAAGAAAAGAGAGAGGGGUUAGAGGGCUGUUGCUGUCUCUUCACACUGACAUACAAACACUGAGCCUCUCUGAUCCUUCCCAUCUGAGCUAUCAGCAGAGCUCUGAUUUCACCAGCAUAUUCUGUGCAAAGAUGUGGUUGAAGUCUCCGGUGCAUUAUCCCCGUGUUGCCUGUGUUAUUUGAAUUUACUGGCCUCCCUGCUACUGUCUGUGGUUUGCGAGUCCAGAGAAAUAAAUUAGAAAGGGAACAGAGAGAAUAUGAUGUCAGAGAGUCCUAUUUGAUGAGACCAGACCCAACACCACCACAAAGAGACCAGGGCCCUUAUCAGUCAGGCAUAGUCCCAAAUCCAGGCUUAUUCUCACUCUUACAUUUUGCUGUCUUGCACUCUCCUCUCUACUGUCUCACACCAUCAUUCACUGCUCCUUGUCCUCUUUCUUAUCCUAUGUGCUACUUUAAUUUCCAUUGUGUCCCAUCCCAUCCCACCCCCCACUCCAACCCCAA